CAUGGGUAGCAAACAGGAUUUGGUACCCUGGUAGUCCAUGCUAUAAACAAUGAAUAUUAAAUGUUUAAUAUAAAAUUUAACAUAAAAAGUUAACACGUUAAAUAUUUCGCCUGGGGAGUAAAACCGCAAGGUUGAAACUCAAAGGAAUUGACGGGAGCUUAUACUUACGGUGGAGCAUGUGGUUUAAUCCGAUAGUCCGCGUGGAAUCUUACCAAUUUUUGACAGUUCUAAGUUAUACCUAGGAAACAGGUGUUGCAUAGCCGUCGUCAGCUUAUGUUUUGAAAUUUAAGAUAUAAGUACAACCCUUACUUUAAUUUACUAAUAUUCAAAAAAAUUAAAAAUAUUUAAUUAUAUUGAAUAAGUACUAUUAAAUUUGAAAUAUGUAAAUAUUUUAAAGGAUGAAGAUAGGUCGUUAUGACCCUUAUAAAUU
rnacentral:rRNA from 1 species